GAGUAACGCGUGAGGAACCUGCCUUGAAGAGGGGGACAACAGUUGGAAACGACUGCUAAUACCGCAUGACGCAUAGAGGUCGCAUGAUCUUUAUGCCAAAGAUUUAUCGCUUCAAGAUGGCCUCGCGUCUGAUUAGCUGGUUGGCGGGGUAACGGCCCACCAAGGCGACGAUCAGUAGCCGGACUGAGAGGUUGAACGGCCACAUUGGGACUGAGAUACGGCCCAGACUCCUACGGGAGGUAGCAGUGGGGGAUAUUGGGCAAUGGGCGCAAGCCUGACCCAGCAACGCCGCGUGAAGGAAGAAGGCUUUCGGGUUGUAAACUUCUUUUAAGAGGGAAGAGCAGAAGACGGUACCUCUAGAAUAAGCCACGGCUAACUACGUGCCAGCAGCCGCGGUAAUACGUAGGUGGCAAGCGUUGUCCGGAUUUACUGGGUGUAAAGGGCGUGCAGCCGGGUCUGCAAGUCAGAUGUGAAAUCCAUGGGCUCAACCCAUGAACUGCAUUUGAAACUGUAGAUCUUGAGUGUCGGAGGGGCAAUCGGAAUUCCUAGUGUAGCGGUGAAAUGCGUAGAUAUUAGGAGGAACACCAGUGGCGAAGGCGGAUUGCUGGACGAUAACUGACGGUGAGGCGCGAAAGUGUGGGGAGCAAACAGGAUUAGAUACCCUGGUAGUCCACACUGUAAACGAUGAAUACUAGGUGUGCGGGGACUGACCCCCUGCGUGCCGCAG
rnacentral:rRNA from 1 species